GAACCAUUCAGCUCAUCUAGUGUGCCCAAUUUUCUAAAUACUUUAAUUAUUCCCUGGCCUUAUUGUAUAGUUAGGAUAGCCUUAUGCCUAUCCUAUGCAUGCUUAAACGUCUUUACUGUGUUAACCUCUACCACUUCAGCUAGAAGGUUAUUCCAUGCAUCCACUACCCUCUCAGUAAAGUAAUACUUCCUGAUAUUAUUUUUAAAUCUUUG